rnacentral:rRNA from 1 species
UGAACGCUGGCGGCGUGCCUAAUACAUGCAAGUCGAGCGAACAGACGAGGAGCUUGCUCCUCUGACGUUAGCGGCGGACGGGUGAGUAACACGUGGAUAACCUACCUAUAAGACUGGGAUAACUUCGGGAAACCGGAGCUAAUACCGGAUAAUAUAUUGAACCGCAUGGUUCAAUAGUGAAAGACGGUUUUGCUGUCACUUAUAGAUGGAUCCGCGCCGCAUUAGCUAGUUGGUAAGGUAACGGCUUACCAAGGCAACGAUGCGUAGCCGACCUGAGAGGGUGAUCGGCCACACUGGAACUGAGACACGGUCCAGACUCCUACGGGAGGCAGCAGUAGGGAAUCUUCCGCAAUGGGCGAAAGCCUGACGGAGCAACGCCGCGUGAGUGAUGAAGGUCUUCGGAUCGUAAAACUCUGUUAUUAGGGAAGAACAAAUGUGUAAGUAACUAUGCACGUCUGGACGGUACCUAAGCAGAAAGCCACGGCUAACUACGU